GGAAAGAUCACAAAGGACAUCACAGUUUGACUUUCCUUUGUUUUAGAUCAUUUUCUCUGAGAGAAGCCAGCUGCCAUGUUGUAAGGAUGCUCAAGCAGUUUCUCCCCACGGCAACAGCCAACAUCAGUUUGCUAGCCAUGUGUGUGAGCCACCUUGGAAGCAGACCUUCUAGUCCCAGUCGAGCCUUUAGAAGACUACAGCUCAGCUACUUUCUUUCUUUUCUUUUUUCUUUUAUUAUGCAUUUUAUUUUCAUAUAAAUUCACAUCCUAGAAAAAUUAAAAUAGAAACACUAAAUACAGCAUUGCACAGAGCAAUCUCUGUUAAAUGCCCCAUUGUAUCAUUGAAGUUCAUACCCACGUGGAGGGACUGAAGGAGACAGGAAGAUGGCAGAACAGCAACCCGAGAGCCACCACUGUGUCUGUGCACAUCAGCUACAGACUGAAAGGUUAUUUUCUUCAUAGACAAUCAUAUCACCUGCAAAUCAUAUUGAAGGAGGAAACAGACAGAGUUGGACUCCAUCUUAGGCCAGGCUGCGAACAUUAGGCUACACGCAUGGUCACCCUCCCAAUGGACUCUGAACUUUGUGCCCGGUGUCUAUAGAAGUGGCAUACCAAUGGAAAACCAGACCCCCCGAUAAAAGAGCCUCGGGACUUGUACUUGGACUCUCCAUUGCCUAAAAGAAUACGCUAAUUAUCUCUGCAACAGAACAAAGUUGUAAAUUCCAUUAUAUUUAUCGGGAUAUGACCACAGGCCUAUUGAUAAACGUUCACUGUUUAUCUAGUCUUGUGACACAUGAAUCAUGGGUUAACUUUGAUCGUAUCUCUCUUUUACCUUGUCCAGACUAGUUUCAAGAAAUUUGGGGAGGUGGGUUUGGGCAAGUACACUUAGGGUAUAUAAGGUUUUCACAAAAACGGUCGGGGUCCUUGGCUAAGAGGAGACUCUGCCUUGGGCCCACCGGUGUUAUAAACUGCACUCCAUCUGCAUGGUCCUUCUGAGUGAGUUUGUUUCCCGGAAUGUGUGGCUACAACAAUAUUCAUUUUAUUUCCGUUUUAAUCCUUAAACCUUCUGUUUAUCCUGUCUCAUCACACAGUGCUAAACAGAAGUGGUAAUAAUGGUUUUCCUUGUCUUGUUUCUCAUCUUGAAGGCAAUGCUUUCCACAUUUUAACAUUAACUGUGGCAUCUGCUGUAGGCUUUUUGUACAUGCCUGUAACAGACUCUGUGAUGUACCUCUGAGGUCCCUCUUUUCUGAGCUGAAGUAAUUCUUCCAGCAGCUGGCGGUACUACUGGCAAACAGCCCUGGACCGUCAACCUUCUUCAGCUAAAGAGAGUAAACUGCCCACAUCACAUCCACUUCCUGGGGUAGCUCACCUUGGGUGGCUGGUUGACACAAGGUAUAAAGGCCCACCUAUCACCCCAAGUCAAAUCGACUCCAAAGGGCUACCCUCAUUCCAGCACUCUCUUUAGGGUUGGGUGAAGCUUUCCCUGAGUCUACACUGCAGCCUGACUUCUCCCUUCUCUGCCCAGUCUUACUUCCUACUUUCUC
ensembl:lncRNA